rnacentral:rRNA from 1 species
GCACCACGAGCAGGUGGAGCCUGCGGUUUAAUCGGACUCAACGCCGGGAAACUCACCAGAUAAGACAGCUGAAUGAUAGUCGGGCUGAAGACUCUACUUGACUAGCUGAGAGGAGGUGCAUGGCCGUCGUCAGUUCGUACUGUGAAGCAUCCUGUUAAGUCAGGCAACGAGCGAGACCCACGCCAACAGUUGCCAGCUCGUCCUCCGGGAUGGUGGGGACACUGUUGGGACCGCCUCUGCUAAAGAGGAGGAAGGAAUGGGCAACGGUAGGUCAGCAUGCCCCGAAUUAUCUGGGCUACACGCGGGCUACAAUGGGUGGGACAAUGGGUAUCGACACCGAAAGGUGAAGGCAAUCUCCUAAACCCAUCCGUAGUUCGGAUUGUGGGCUGCAACUCGCCCACAUGAAGCUGGAAUCUGUAGUAAUCGUGUCUCAAAAUGGCACGGUGAAUAUGUCCCUGCUCCUU